rnacentral:tRNA from 4 species
GGAGAGGUCGCAUAGAGGCCUAGUGCGGCGGUUUGCUAAACCGCUAGGGAUCAAAAGUCCCUCGUGGGUUCGAAUCCCACCCUCUCCGCCA